rnacentral:lncRNA from 1 species
CCAGGGCUUCUUAAGCACAGGGUUUCUGCGUAAAGCGUAACAUUGCAGUACUGUGUGUUAGGUGUUUUGGUGGAAGAUGAAUCCUGCGACCUUUGUCCUCAUCUGUCACUGCGAACAAAAACAAACAAAAAACAAACACCCCACUACAGUCAUUAUCAACCCACCUUCAAAGCGGGAAGUUGUCGCAGCCCAGUGGCAGCCCUAGAGGAACAGACCCGUCGGUUUGCUCUCAUCGCCCUCUGGUGUCCACAUUGGAGUAUAGCCACGCUAAAUGGACCAGCCCUGGCACUGAAUCACCAAGCUUGCCUGCCCUUUUCCAGGAAUUUUAAAGAUCCUACUUUAAAUCCCUGCUACUUGCCAAAUUGUGAGGCUGGCUUCUUAUUUUUAAACCUUGGUCCUCUCAGCUUUGAAGUGGCAUCCCACACCAUCCAUGUUCUUGUAAGAAUUAAAGGGGUUAACUUGAAAAUCACUACACCGUAAUAACAUUUUAAAAAACGUGCUCUCCCAAAAAUAGACCAUGAGGAAGACUCUCAGCCGUAAGCUAUAAGGAUGGGGAGACUUUAUCUAGAGCACCUGUCACCUCGUGCAACUGUCAACUGUUUAUGCUCCACUUCCUUGCUGGAAUGUGAGAUACAAGGAAAGGAUGCCCGGACUCAUUACAUGUGGUCUGGCCCGUGACGGGAGCUCAGGAAAUAUUUGUUGAGAAGACACUGAAUAAAAACCAGUUUUCCCU